rnacentral:tRNA from 1 species
GCUCUUGUAGCUCAGUUGGUAGAGCAUCGCUCUUAUACAUGAAUGUAUGCAAAGGAAGCGAUAGGCGAGAGUCGUGGGUUCAAUCCCCACCAAGAGCA